AGCGGCGAACGGGUGAGUAACACGUGGAUUACGUGCCCUUUAGGCGGGGAACAACUCAGGGAAACUUGAGCUAAUUCCGCAUAUGCCCUUCGGGGUGAAAGACUUCGGUCGCCUGAGGAUCGGUCCGCGGCCCAUUAUUUAAUCCUUGUUGGUAGGGUAACGGCCUACCAAGGGUACGAUGGGUAGCUGGUCUGAGAGGAUGAUCAGCCACACUGGGACUGAGACACGGCCCAGACUCCUACGGGAGGCAGCAGUGGGGAAUAUUGGACAAUGGGCGAAAGCCUGAUCCAGCCACGCCGCGUGAGUGAUGAAGGCCUUCGGGUUGUAAAGCUCUGUCGGGAGGGACGAAACCUUCGGGUUGACGGUACCUCGCAAGAAAGCACCGGCUAACUCCGUGCCAGCAGCCGCGGUAAUACGGAGGGUGCAAGCGUUGCUCGGAAUUACUGGGCGUAAAGCGACCGCAGGCGGCUCGUUAAGUCGGAUGUGAAAUCCCCAGGCUCAACCUGGGAACUGCAUUCGAAACUGGCGAGCUUGAGUUCGGGAGAGGAAGGUGGAAUUCCUGGUGUAGGGGUGAAAUUCGUUGAUAUCAGGAGGAACACCGGCGGCGAAGGCGGCCUUCUGGCCCGAAACUGACGCUCAUGGUCGAAAGCGUGGGGAGCAAACAGGAUUAGAUACCC
rnacentral:rRNA from 1 species